rnacentral:misc_RNA from 1 species
GAUGAAGAACGCAGCGAAAUGCGAUAUGUAAUGUGAAUUGCAGAAUUCAGUGAAUCAUCGAAUCUUUGAACGCACAUUGCGCCCGCCAGCAUUCUGGCGGGCAUGCCUGUUCGAGCGUCAUUUCAACCCUCGAGCCCCCCCGGGGGCCUCGGUGUUGGGGGACGGCACACCAGCCGCCCCCGAAAUGCAGUGGCGACCCCGCCGCAGCCUCCCCUGCGUAGUAGCACACACCUCGCACCGGAGCGCGGAGGCGGUCACGCCGUAAAACGCCCAACUUUCUUAGAGUUGACCUCGGAUCAGGUAGGAAUACCCGCUGAACUUAAGCAUAUCAAUAAGCGGAGGA